GGUGUUGCGCCGGACGAACGGACAACUUUGAUGUCGUUGAACACGAGGUCAUACCUCCAACACCU
rnacentral:tRNA from 1 species